rnacentral:rRNA from 1 species
CCCUUAGAUGUUCUGGGCUGCACGCGCGCUACACUGACAUGUCCAGCGAGCUCCCAACCUGCUCGGCAAAGAAUGGGUACCCUUUUUAACGCAUGUCGUGAUGGGGAUAGAUUAUUGCAAUUGUUGAUCUUGAACGAGGGAUGCCUAGUAAGCGUGAUUCAUCAAAUCGCGUUGAUUACGUCCCUGCCCUUUGUACACACCGCCCGUCGCUCCUACCGAUUGAAUGUGUUGGUGAGGAGCUCGGAUUGGCAGCAGUUGGUGGUUCGCCACCGGCUAUUGCUGAGAAGUCCUCCAAACCGCCCCAUUUAGAGGAAGGAGAAGUCGUAACA